UGUUCACAGACUACAACAUUGACACUCCUCCUUCUCUAAAGCCAACCAAGAAAUACUCUGACAUCUCUGGACUCCCUGCAAACUACACAGACCCCCAGACAAAGCUACGCUUCACGUCCAGCGAGGAGUUCUCCUACAUCCGUCUCCUCCCCACUGAUGUUGUUACCGGCUACCUGGCGCUCCGGAAGGCAACUUGCAUUGUACCCUGAUGGCCGAGCGAGGCUUGAACCCUGAAACAGGUUCAAACCAGAACUGAACCUCUGUCAGUGUAGGAAGCCGUUGGAGAGGACAGGCUGCGAUUAGUGAGGACGCAAAGUGAAGACCGCUGAACUCACAGACUGGCCACCACUAAACAUCCGCACAACUGAUUUCAAAGAAGGCAACCUGAGUCAUAAUUGUUACUGCGUAGGGCUGGGUGUUGUUUAAAAUAUUACGAUUCUAGUACCAAUACCGGUGCCCUUAAAGGGGUACAGAUACCAGUAGAGUACUUAAUUCGAUAACCAUAAUAUGAAUACGGUGGCAUGUAGUGUAGCGAUACUUUCAAAUGUUUUGGUAGCAUUUCGGUACGCUGAAUUGCCAACCCCAUCAAAUACACCGUGCUCAACUUCAUCACACCACAGACUCUAUGUGUUGUAACGUGAGAUGCUGUCAUGGGACUGUAAGCUCCACGCCGGGGACAGUUGUGAGAGUCCGCCCAGAUGCACAUACACAGUGAUGGGGCUAACUGUUAGCAUCAUACAGCUAACAUUAACUAACACUUAUUAAUGGUUAACAACAGCGUCAAGCCAUUUCGGUGUCUGUGUAAGUUUGUUGGGACAGUUUUACAGCUUGCUGUUGGAUGUUGGACACUGCUGCUGUGCUAGGUCAUGCUAACUGGGCAGAUGUUGAACAGGAAGAAGAAGAGCGGCUCCGGAGAUGGCAGCAACAGAAAGUUUGCUAAUUUCUGGAGGGGAGUCGGGAUGGUACAGAAUCAGACUCCCGACGCAAAGAGGAUCAAGUGCAGCUAUGGGGUCUACAUGGGAGUCUACAAACUAAUGAGUGAUGUCUCAUUAGUUUGUAGACUCCCAUUUCGACGCCUUGAGUUCGGCAAUUCGGUCAUCGCCAUCUUGGUUUUUUGAAGCCAGAAGUGACCAUAUUUGGGCGAGAGGCUGGAGCUGUGGAAGAGCGAGGGGUGGAUCUGACUGAGAGCCGAGGACACUACUGGCAGACAGCCUGCCUGUCCUGCAGUUUUUGUUUGGCACUUGUGUGUUGGCUUCAUUUUUCAGUCCCUACGGUUGCUGCUUGGUCUGUACUUUAAAGGUAUUCAUUACUGACACCCAGCCUUGUUACUGUGCGACAAAAUAAAUGCAACAAAUGUGAAAUUUCUGUGUUCUUUCCUCAUUAAAUAAAAUCAGUGAUUUCUUCUUUUA